rnacentral:misc_RNA from 1 species
GAUGAAGAACGUAGCGAAAUGCGAUAAGUAGUGUGAAUUGCAGAAUUCAGUGAAUCUUCGAAUCUUUGAACGCACAUUGCGCCCCUUGGUAUUCCAUGCGGCAUGCCUGUUCGAGCGUCAUCUACACCCUCAAGCUCUGCUUGGUGUUGGGCGUCUGUCCCGCCUUUGCGCGUGGACUCGCCCCAAAUUCAUUGGCAGCGGUCCUUGCCUCCUCUCGCGCAGCACAUUUGCGCUUCUCGAGGUGCGCGGGCCGCGUCCACGAAGCAACUAUUACCGUCUUUGACCUCGGAUCAGGUAGGGAUACCCGCUGAACUUAAGCAUAUCAAUAAGCGGAGGA